CCUACGGGAGGCCGCAGUGAGGAAUAUUUGUCAAUGGACGAGAGUCUGAACCAGCCAAGUAGCGUGAAGGAUGACUGCCCUAUGGAUUGUAAACUUCUUUUAUAAAGGAAUAAAACGAGGCACGUGUGCCUUGUUGCAUGUACUUUAUGAAUAAGGAUCGGCUAACUCCGUGCCAGCAGCCGCGGUAAUACGGAGGAUCCGAGCGUUAUCCGGAUUUAUUGGGGUUACAGGGAGCGUAGAUGGGUUGUUAAGUCAGGUGUGAAAGUUUUAGGCUCAAACGUAAAAUUGCAAUUGACACUGGCAGUCUUGAGUACAGUUGAGGUAGGCGGAAUGCGUGGUGUAGCGGUGAAAUGCUUAGAUAUCACGAAGAACCCCGAUUGCGAAGGCAGCUUACUAACCCGUGACUGACAUUGAGGCUCGAAAGUGUGGGUAUCAAACAGGAGUAGAUACCCUAGUAGUC
rnacentral:rRNA from 1 species